UUUUUGUAAACGCUGAGUCCAAUUAUAUGGAGCGGAGGAACCAAUUUGUGCAGUGUCACUAGGGGUGAAUCUUUCAAGUUUGAAAGUAGGGCUACUCUCAAAGUCCGAAUCCGACAGCUAACUUCGUAAGCGUCUUGAGAGAGGACGG
rfam:Bacillus cereus ATCC 14579, complete genome.